rnacentral:rRNA from 1 species
UACGUAGGGGGCAAGCGUUGUCCGGAUUUAUUGGGCGUAAAGAGCGUGUAGGCGGCCAGAUAGGUCCGUUGUGAAAACUCGAGGCUCAACCUCGAGACGCCGAUGGAAACCAUUUGGCUAGCGUCCGGAAGAGGAGAGUGGAAUUCCUGGUGUAGCGGUGAAAUGCGCAGAUAUCAGGAAGAAUAUCCGUGGCGAAGGCGGCUCUCUGGUACGGCACUGACGCUGAGACGCGAAAGCGUGGGGAGCGAACAGG